AGAGUUUGAUCCUGGCUCAGAACGAACGCUGGCGGCAUGCCUAACACAUGCAAGUCGAACGAGACCUCACCUUCGGGUGAACGUCUAGUGGCGCACGGGUGCGUAACGCGUGGGAAUCUGCCCUUCGGUUCGGAACAACAGUUAGAAAUGACUGCUAAUACCGGAUGAUGACGUAAGUCCAAAGAUUUAUCGCCGAAGGAUGAGCCCGCGUAGGAUUAGCUAGUUGGUAAGGUAAAAGCUUACCAAGGCGACGAUCCUUAGCUGGUCUGAGAGGAUGAUCAGCCACACUGGGACUGAGACACGGCCCAGACUCCUACGGGAGGCAGCAGUGGGGAAUAUUGGACAAUGGGCGAAAGCCUGAUCCAGCAAUGCCGCGUGAGUGAUGAAGGCCUUAGGGUUGUAAAGCUCUUUUACCAGGGAUGAUAAUGACAGUACCUGAGAAUAGU
rnacentral:rRNA from 1 species